UUUUCCCUCGAGUGGCAAACGGGUGAGUAACACGUGGGUUACCUGCCUCUAAGAUCGGGAUACCAAUUGGAAACGAUUGUUAAAACCGGAUGUGCUCUACGGAGUAAAAAGCCCUUAAAGCUUUGCUUAGAGAUGGGCCUGCGGCGCAUUAGACUGUUGGUGGGGUAAUGGCCUACCAAAUCUACGAUGCGUAGCCGAACUGAGAGGUUGAUCGGCCACAUUGGGACUGAGACACGGCCCAGACUCCUACGGGAGACAGCAGUUAGGAAUAUUCGUCAAUGGGGGCAACCCUGAACGAGCAAUGCCGCGUGAACGAUGACGGUCCUCUGGAUUGUAAAGUUCUGUUGUUUAGGAAAAAUUGUAUGAGUAGGAAAUGACUUAUACUUGAUGGUACUAUUCAAGAAAGCCACGGCUAACUACGUGCC
rnacentral:rRNA from 1 species